GGAACGGAAAAUACACAGCGGUUUCUGACGGACUGAUUUCAGAGUUGCUACAUCCAUCAGACUGAUGCAAGAGCCAGCUCCAGGCGUGCUCUUUCCGAUAGUGUUCAGUGUUGUGCGUUCAUGAAAAAAAAUUAAACUUUGGAACCUGAAACAUGGAGAAAGCCGGAAGAUCAGCAGUGUCUGGAAAGUGGAAAAAUGCACUCGGUUCUGUGAUGGAGCUGAUGGAGAAUGAGAAUGGUCAGAUUACUGGGAUGUACACAACCGCUGUUACUUCAAAAGAGUCCAGCCUCAAAGAAGAACCUGCUGAACUUGUGGGCUACAUCAACAGAAACCAGACCAAACAGACCACUACUAUUGCCUUCUGCAUGGCCUGGAAGAUAAAAGGCUCGUGCAGUGCUUUCUCUGGCCAGAUCUUCCAGGAUGACGAUAGUACUGAUGUACUGAAGACCACCUGGCUUCUACAUUCACCUGCGGAUAGCCCCUGUAACAACUGGGAAGCAACACGCGUUGGGGAAGACACAUUCACCAGAUGCCCAUGAACGAGAUUCUGAAGGAUAGGAAGAAGUGGAAAAUGAUUUGAAAAACAUGGCUUACUAUCAAAAUAAAAUUUGAUUAACAUAUG